rnacentral:siRNA from 1 species
GCCCAUUCAUCGUCCUGGUCGAGC